UUUCUGGUCUCGGACAUCGGUCUGCCUCGAACGAGGUACGUACCAGUUGUCUGAAUCCAUCCUCGGGGAAAACAUAUCUGUCAUUCAGUUGAUGGGUAUGGGAUCCUCGUCAUUUACUGUGAGCAAAAUAGAGUGUUCAAAGCAGGCUUAUGCCGUUGAAUACAUUAGCAUGGAAUAAUAAGAUAAGACCUUGGUCUAAUUUUGUUGGUUUGUACUCCAAGGUAAUGAUUAAUAGGGAUAGUUGGGGGUAUUCGUAUUCAAUUGUCAGAGGUGAAAUUCUUGGAUUUAUGGAAGACGAACUACUGCGAAAGCAUUUACCAAGGAUGUUUUCAUUAAUCAAGAACGAAAGUUAGGGGAUCGAAGAUGAUUAGAUACCAUCGUAGUCUUAACCAUAAACUAUGCCGACUAGGGAUUGGUGGACGUU
rnacentral:rRNA from 1 species